rnacentral:lncRNA from 1 species
UUGGAGACUCGGUUGGGCUUGUGCAGCAGCAAGCAUCGCCUCAGCUAUUAGAAAUAUCCACAUAAAAUUAACAGAUUCAGCUCCUGCACCAUUCCAAGAAGCUGCAUUGAUUGCAUUAACAAGCACAGCAGAUUACUACAUAUCCCUGAGAAAAGUGAGCCUUAAUUCUAACCAUGCUUCUUUCAGUUUGAGCUGUCUUACCUUGCAAUUGUGAUGACUUUGGCUAGGACUAUGAGGUGAAAAGAGACUUCAUCCUUCUGUUGCUGAAAGACUUGGGCUUCAAAAUCAGCGUCAAGCCACAAGGUUCAGUAUUUGUGUUUGCUGAGCUGCCAAGGUCCUGCCAACUUUCAGAUGUGAGUUCCUUCGAUGAGAAAUAGAACUACAUCUGAGAGUUCCUUUAGAACACAAGAAUUUCACAGGAAUGAUAUAGGAAUUUCACAGAAAUUAGCACAAAAUACAGGAAAAACGUAGGAUUUGGAAAAAUAUCCUUUAAUCCAAAGGAGGCCUGAAGCAUUUUUCUCUAUACAGUGGAACUCAGAUAAGACCAUUUUUGUUGAGCUUAAAAUGAAACUCUGAAUUUGCUAAUGCUGGAAACGAAAAUCACUUUGUUUCUAGUGACACAAUAGCAUAAGUAGUUAGUAGCACGAGUUUGUAUUAUAUUGAUCUUAUGACUUCACACUACAAGCUUACACACAUUGCUUGAUCUUCACAAUCAAGCUCUACUAUCACACAUACACAUUAGCUUACUAUACACCAUACACUAGCUUGAUCUUCACAACCAGGCUUUAUCUUCUCUAUAUCUCAAACCCACUUCUACACAGGAGGAUUGCUGCCUCUUUUACAGGACUUUCAGGUCGGUUGCUACAGGAACCGACCUAAUAGUGCACAGCUCAAGUUCUCCUACUUGCUAGCUAAGCAACCUCUAAAAACCAGUUUUGCUUCAUUUUCGCCCCAGCAGCCUGCUUCUUGCAGUGGUAAACUUGGAGUUCACUAACAAGUAGCUAGUACUAGAAACGUCAUAGCUGCUGUCUUCAUGUAGCUUUCUCAUCCAUAAACCAUAUAGGCCUAUACAUGCUUGUUCAACACUAAUAUACCUCAACAACAACAUCAACAUAGCCUUUUAGUCCCAAGCAAGUUGGGAUAGACUAGAGUUGAAACCCAACAAAAUGAUAAAAUAAAUCCUAACAGCUAGUUGGUCCUUUUUUCCUGCACUAUGCAAUUCAGGUAGAAUUUGUGACAAAGUUGAUCAACGAUGCUGGUGUGGUUGCCGUGCCUGGCCGUGGGUUCUUCCACAAGACUUGUGACGGUGAAAGCUACUGCCACCGAUAUGUCAGGUUUGCGUUCUGCAAGGGCGACGACACACUUAAGGCUGCUGCCAUGAAGAUGAGGAAGCUGGCAAGCAGGCAGGGAGAACCAUGGCUUACUGGCAGACAAUAGGAUAAGACUAUGCCCUCCUCUAAUUGAUCAAAACCCUUAGAUUUAUUCCUCUUUUUAGUUUCUGGAUACAACUUUGAUGCCAUGUCACACGGCCCAUGAAAGUGUAACAGCUAGUUGCAUCCUUUUCCCAUAAAAGUGUAAGGGCAUGUACAACCUAGAACCCACUUCACGGUUCUCCAAGCGCAAGACACACCUAAGACAGUUUCAUACAGUGGGUUGUAUCUUAGAUUAAAUGCUUUAAUAAAUGCAUUGUAUUUACGUGUAUGAAAGUAUGAUUGAUCUAGUGUGCAUAUACACUUAGGUGCCGUUUGGUUUCCAAAAUGUAACGUAAAUGGUAAUGGUAACGGUUUGCAUUCGAUUAUCAGUGGUAACAAGUUUGAAUAGGCUGGUAUCAAUUUCUAGUGUGGUAUCCGAUUACGAUUGGACUUAAACAAACAUGAUUUAACGUUAUUUGUUACCGAUUACAUUACAAAUAUGUGAACCAAACAGCACCUUAGUCCAUGCAUUCACAUUUUCAGUUUCAGGUUGUAACACACAUGUUUCAGACUGCAUUCCCGUCUCAUUUUCUGAGAUACACAGUUUUAUGCUAAAUUCACAGAAACGUGACUGAAUCAUCACAGAACAUACUACAUAUGUCACAUACUGAAAACAUAACUGAAUCAUCAGAGAAACAUGGUUGAACCAUCAAUUUCGCACAAGCAUAUUCAAAACAUCCAUUAGCACAAAAUGAGGCCCUUUGUUUUCAUCCUCAUAGAACUUGUGUGCUUUUUCUAUCCACAUUUGAUCCAAAUACCUGCUAGUGAACAACCUUCUAGGCUUCAACGAACAGUCAUUGAACAUGUUUAUCCACUUAUUUAUCUUGUGCCACCUUCAACUAAAAUAGGUAGAUUGAAAUGGCAAUCUAGGGCUAAAACUGAAUUUAAUCUGGUACUGAAACUGUAUGCAAACCUGAAUUAAGUAAAUUGAAAUUGUAAUCUGGGCUGAAACUGAAUGUAAUCUAGGGCGGUUUACUAAAUGUAAUCUGGUGCUGAAACUAAAUAUAAACCUAAACUGGGUAAAUUGAAAUUGUUACUCUAAAAUAAUCAAUAAACUGAAAUGUAAACCUAAACCUAAAUAUACAUUCAUUCAAACUGGGUUUAGGGUUGAUCAUCCUUUAGAAAUUAAUCAAUAAACUGUUGUACAGUCUCUAAACAACUUGUAUUACCUUUGAAGCAAAUCAGAGAAAGAAGGUGAUGUACGUGAUGGGGGCAUGAAAGAGCAGCAGAGGACCCUGGGCACCGGUGAAGCCCACCUGGUUGCCGACGGGGGAGGGAACUCUGGAGCCAAACGGGGUUGUUGUUGAUGGGCGGGUCGACGUUGACGACGGAGCUAGGGGCGACAAUAGCCAGAGGACGGGGCAACGAUGACUGGCCAUGGCGAUCUGGUGGGUUGCGGUAGCGGUAGAAUGGAUUUAGGCACGAGAGUAGAAGAUGCAACAGAUGCGGAGAAGAGAGUUCGCGUACCACAGUGGAUCGGGAAGAAACGACAUUCAUCGUACAAUGCAGGCACGGUUUCG